rnacentral:rRNA from 1 species
UACGGGGGGGGUAAGCGUUGUUCGGAAUUACUGGGCGUAAAGGGCUCGUAGGCGGCCAACUAAGUCAUACGUGAAAUCCCUCAGCUUAACUGGGGAACUGCGUGUGAUACUGGAUGGCUUGGAUUUGGGAGAGGGAUGCGGAAUUCCAGGUGUAGCGGUGAAAUGCGUAGAUAUCUGGAGGAACACCGGUGGCGAAGGCGGCUACCUGGACAAUUGCUGACGCUCAGGCACGAAAGCGUGGGGAGCAAAAGGG